UGGCUCAGGAUGAACGCUGGCGGAGUGCCUAACACAUGCAAGUCGAGCGGCAGCGCGAGUAGUUUACUACUUGGCGGCGAGCGGCGGACGGCUGAGUAACGCGUGGGAACAUGCCCCAAAGUGAGGAAUAACUGCCCGAAAGGGUAGCUAAUGCCGCAUACGAUCUUCGGAUUAAAGGAUUUAUCCGCUUUGGGGAGUGGCCUGCGUACGAUUAGAUAGUUGGUGAGGUAAUGGCUCACCAAGUCUACGAUCGUUAACUGGUUUGAGAGGAUGAUCAGUCAGACUGGAACUGAGACACGGUCCAGACUCCUACGGGAGGCAGCAGUGAGGAAUCUUCCACAAUGGACGAAAGUCUGAUGGAGCAACUCCGCGUGCAGGAUGAAGGCCUUCGGGUCGUAAACUGCUUUUAUGAGUGAAGAAUAUGACGGUAACUCAUGAAUAAGGGUCGGCUAACUACGUG
rnacentral:rRNA from 1 species